UACGUAGGUGGCAAGCGUUGUCCGGAUUUAUUGGGUUUAAAGGGUGCGUAGGCGGCCCCCGUAAGUCAGUGCUGAAAUAUCCCGGCUUAACCGGGAGGGUGGCAUUGAUACUGCGAGGCUUGAGUAGAGUUGAGGUUGGCGGAAUUGACGGUGUAGCGGUGAAAUGCUUAGAUAUCGUCAAGAACACCGAUAGUGUAGACAGCUAACUAAGCUCAAACUGACGCUGAGGCACGAAAAGUGUGGGGGAUCAAACAGG
rnacentral:rRNA from 1 species